AGCAGCCGCGGUAAUUCCAGCUCCAAUAGCGUAUAUUAAAGUUGUUGCAGUUAAAAAGCUCGUAGUUGAAUUUCGGGAUCAAUUUAUCGGUCGUGCCUACGGUAUGAACUGGUACAAUUGGUUUCUCCCUUCUGACGAAGCUCGAUGUCAUUAACUUGGUGUCGGGGGGAAUCAGGACUGUUACUUUGAAAAAAUUAGAGUGUUUAAAGCAGGCCUUGGCUUGAAUACAUUAGCAUGGAAUAAUGAAAUAGGACGUUUGAUCCUAUUUCGUUGGUUUCUAGGAUCGACGUAAUGAUUAAUAGGGAUAGUUGGGGGCAUUAGUAUUCAAUUGUCAGAGGUGAAAUUCUUGGAUUUAUUGAAGACUAACUACUGCGAAAGCAUUUGCCAAGGAUGUUUUCAUUAAUCAAGAACGAAAGUUAGGGGAUCGAAGACGAUCAGAUACCGUCGUAGUCUUAACCAUAAACUAUGCCGACUAGGGAUCGGAUGAUGUUAAUUUUUUAAUGACUCA
rnacentral:rRNA from 1 species